UACGUAGGGUGCGAGCGUUAAUCGGAAUUACUGGGCGUAAAGCGUGCGCAGGCGGCUUUGCAAGACAGAUGUGAAAUCCCCGGGCUCAACCUGGGAACUGCAUUUGUGACUGCAUGGCUAGAGUGCGGCAGAGGGGGAUGGAAUUCCGCGUGUAGCAGUGAAAUGCGUAGAUAUGCGGAGGAACACCGAUGGCGAAGGCAAGCCCUCCG
rnacentral:rRNA from 1 species